CACAAAUGGUGGGAGUGACAAGAGUUAAAUAGGAAGGGGGUGAUGGCUGUAGUGUUUUUUUUUUUUUUUUUCUAUCCCUUCCUGUUUGUAGCUGGGAUGUGUUCCCCCAGUUGAGUAGCUAUGUGCUGGAAAGCUGAGAUAUUUCUCUGUAACACAUUGACAGGUUAGGUGCAAUCCUUCAUAUUGUCUCUGGAGAUGAUGCUGGUUCCCUGCCCUUUGCUGAUGUGAGAGCUGUGGGGAGGUGGCUGUCCAGGGCUGAGCUGGCAGGAAAACACAGCCCUCUCCAAGGUCCCCAGCAGAGCAGGGUGGACAGCAGCACGGUGUUCGACAGAGACCUGAGAGCCUUGAUGUGCCGCUGGCAGAUUUAUGCCUCGUUGAAACCCACCUCUUAUUGCCUCUGAGUUGAUUGGGAGGAAGGAAUCUUGUUCGCUGGAAAAGAAACCCACUGCAAUGUGCCAUGCAUGCCAAGUCAGGGUGGGAGCUUAAAAGAAGAAUUUGGAGCCCUGACCUCUUUUCCUCGUCCGCUGCUCAUCUUCUGUCACUGUGUCAGCUGGGACAGCCUGUCAGGAAGCUUCAUACACUUUGGGUCAGACGCUCUUUCCCUGAAGAGGAGAAGAAUAUUUAUAGCCAGGAAGGGCUGUAAUGGGGAGAUCUCUAGGCUGCUCUACCUGUCAGAUAAGGUUUCUUAUGGACCCGAUGGUAACAGCCCACGUGCAGUCUGCUACAACAGAAGAGAAGGUGGGGUCUGGGUUUGGGGCACCAGGGCGUUCCCAGCCCAGGUAAUUUGGCUGAGGUCCUGGAAAGUGGAGGAACUGGCAGAGCUAAUGACUUUGGAAGUGCCUUGGGACCCUAUGCUAGUGCAGAAAAGGCUUAGGAAAUAUUCGGCAAGUUCAUUUAGGCUCCUUUCACGCUUCUCAAAUCUUGAAGCUUCCUUAUUGCUGCUUUAUGUCAAUAUGACACUGCUUGAUUUCACCGUUGCUCUUGAUUUUGCUGCGAUGGCGUUGCAGCGUUUGGUCCCGCGCCGAUCCCAUCUGCAACGUCUCACAUAA
rnacentral:lncRNA from 1 species